rnacentral:rRNA from 1 species
AUUGAACGCUGGCGGCAGGCUUAACACAUGCAAGUCGAACGGCAGCGGGGGAGAAGCUUGCUUUUCCUGCCGGCGAGUGGCGAACGGGUGAGUAAUACAUCGGAACGUGCCCUGUAGUGGGGGAUAACUAGUCGAAAGAUUAGCUAAUACCGCAUACGACCUGAGGGUGAAAGUGGGGGACCGCAAGGCCUCAUGCUAUAGGAGCGGCCGAUGUCUGAUUAGCUAGUUGGUGGGGUAAAGGCCUACCAAGGCGACGAUCAGUAGCUGGUCUGAGAGGACGAUCAGCCACACUGGGACUGAGACACGGCCCAGACUCCGACGGGAGGCAGCAGUGGGGAAUUUUGGACAAUGGGCGAAAGCCUGAUCCAGCAAUGCCGCGUGUGUGAAGAAGGCCUUCGGGUUGUAAAGCACUUUUGUCCGGAAAGAAAUGGCUCUGGUUAAUACCUGGGGUCGAUGACGGUACCGGAAGAAUAAGGACCGGCUAACUACGUGCCAGCAGCCGCCGUAA